rnacentral:rRNA from 1 species
UAAUAGUGUAUAUUAAAGUUGUUGCAGUUAAAAAGCUCGUAGUUGAAUGUUGGUGUCGAACGAGCGGUCAGCUUCGGCUGUACUGCUCUCUCGACUCCUUCCUUCUGUGGACUACGUCGCACUUUACUGUGUGGCGCUAGGACGCAGAUCGUUUACUGUGAAAAAAUUAGAGUGUUCAAAGCAGGCCGUACGCUUGAAUACAUUAGCAUGGAAUAAUGGAAUAGGACGUCGGGCCUAUUUUGUUGGUUCUAGGACCGUCGUAAUGAUUAAUAGGGACAGUUGGGGCCGUCUAUAUUCCGUAGUCAGAGGUGAAAUUCUUGGAUUUACGGAAGAUAAACUACUGCGAAAGCAUUCGGCAAGGAUGUUUUCGUUAA